UUGCUACGAUGACUUGAACAGAAAGGUUGAGAGUGUUUCUGAAAUGCUCUAUGGAACUUCGACAUAAUGUCGAUCCUGAGCGGUUAACUGAGCAA